GACAAGGUGGCCGAGCGGUCUAAGGCGCACGACUCAAGCUUACGUAAUCAGAUCACGUGAUCUUCGCCCUGAAUCAUUAGGGUGAGUCUUUCGUGUGAGGAAACUCUCGUGGGUUCGAAUCCCACCCUUGUCA